AACAAGGCGUACCUGCGGACCUGCGGAAGGAUCAUUACCGAGUUUACAACUCCCAAACCCCUGUGAACAUACCACUUGUUGCCUCGGCGGAUCAGCCCGCUCCCGGUAAAACGGGACGGCCCGCCAGAGGACCCCUAAACUCUGUUUCUGUAUGUAACUUCUGAGUAAAACCAUAAAUAAAUCAAAACUUUCAACAACGGAUCU
rnacentral:misc_RNA from 1 species